AGGUGUGGAAACGUUCUGGAGCCUGGUUCUACAAAGCCUUGCCGAAGCAUAUUCGUCCCAUUAAGGAUUCAAUUCUAGAUAACAGGAAGCCAGUAAUAGAAAGAGGAGAGCAGCUGCCAGUGGCCAGGAGUGCACCAAUCAGCUACACAUGGGCUCAAAGCAAAGUUAACUUAAGUGAAAGCGAUGGCAGUGAUCCCGAGCUUAGUGAAUGCAGCAGUGACAGGAAGACCUUCAUGUCUGAGACCGAUCAAAGAGAUUUUGAAUCAAGUGGAGGCCAAGUGCAAACCCCUCUGCAGUCCAACAUCACCAGUCCAACUCGAACCAGCUUUCACAUGGAAAGCCCUUCCAGCUUGGCCAGCGAGCGAAGCAGCAGCAGUUUCAAUCCGGGUCUGGAGGAAGAGGUCAUGGACCAUAGUCGACCUUUACUAAACGCGGAAGUGAACGGAAUUCAGAGUUCAUGUGCAUCUGCGUGGCUCUCACUGUGUCUACACUGGACACGAGCGGCAUGACACGGUGUCUGUGUGUGAGCAAAGAAAGUGAUCAGUAUAAAUAUAACGGUAAAAGGAAUCUGAUUGUUGUGGAUGGAGGGUCACACAGAUGGUCCUCAGAGCAGCCACU
rnacentral:lncRNA from 1 species